rnacentral:rRNA from 1 species
AGAGUUUGAUCCUGGCUCAGGAUUAACGCUGGCGGCGCACAUAAGACAUGCAAGUCGAACGGACUUAAUCGAUUCUUUUAGAUUCGAAGCGGUUAGCGGCGGACUGGUGAGUAACACGUAAGCAACCUGCCUAUUAGAGGGGAAUAACAACGAGAAAUCGUUGCUAAUACCGCAUAAGCUAGUAGUACCGCAUGGUACAGCUAGAAAAGGAGUAAUCCGCUAAUAGAUGGGCUUGCGUCCGAUUAGCUAGUUGGUGGGGUAACGGCCUACCAAGGCAACGAUCGGUAGCCGAGCUGAGAGGCUCAACGGCCACAUUGGGACUGAGAUACGGCCCAGACUCCUACGGGAGGCAGCAGUCGGGAAUAUUGCGCAAUGGAGGAAACUCUGACGCAGUGACGCCGCGUAUAGGAAGAAGGUUUUCGGAUUGUAAACUAUUUUAGACAGGGAAGAAAAUGACAGUACCUGUAGAAUAAGCUCCGGCUAACUACGUGCCAGCAGUCGCGGUAAUACGUAGGGAGCAAGCGUUAUCCGGAUUUAUUGGGUGUAAAGGGUGCGUAGACGGGAUGACAAGUUAGUUGUGAAAGCCCUCGGCUUAACUGAGGAACUGCAACUAAAACUAUCGUUCUUGAGUGCAGGAGAGGAAAGCGGAAUUCCUAGUGUAGCGGUGAAAUGCGUAGAUAUUAGGAGGAACACCAGUGGCGAAGGCGGCUUUCUGGACUGUAACUGACGUUGAGGCACGAAAGUGUGGGGAGCAAACAGGAUUAGAUACCCUGGUAGUCCACACUGUAAACGAUGGAUACUAGGUGUAGGAGAUGAUUUCAUCAUCUGUGCCGAAAGCAAACGCAAUAAGUAUCCCACCUGGGGAGUACGGCCGCAAGGUUGAAACUCAAAGGAAUUGACGGGGGCCCGCACAAGCAGUGGAGUAUGUGGUUUAAUUCGAAGCAACGCGAAGAACCUUACCAGGGCUUGACAUAUACAGGAAUAUGUUGGAAACAAUAUAGCUCUUCGGAGUCUGUAUACAGGUGGUGCAUGGUUGUCGUCAGCUCGCGUCGUGAGAUGUUGGGUUAAGUCCCGCAACGAGCGCAACCCCUGUGAUUAGUUGCUAACAUUCAGUUGAGAACUCUAAUCAGACUGCCGGUGAUAAAUCGGAGGAAGGUGGGGACGACGUCAAAUCAUCAUGCCCUUUAUGUCCUGGGCAACACACGUACUACAAUGGUCGUAACAGAGAGAUGCAAAGCAGCGAUGCAGAGCGAAACUUUAAAAGCGACCUCAGUUCGAAUUGAAGGCUGAAAUUCGCCUUCAUGAAGUCGGAAUUGCUAGUAAUGGCAGGUCAGCAUACUGCCGUGAAUACGUUCCCGGGCCUUGUACACACCGCCCGUCA